rnacentral:rRNA from 1 species
AACGCAGCGAAGGGCGAUACGUAAUGUGAAUUGCAGAAUUCAGUGAAUCAUCGAAUCUUUGAACGCACAUUGCACUCUCCGGUAUUCCGGAGAGUAUGCUUGUUUGAGUAUCUGUAAACAUCUCAAAUCUCCCAGCGCUUGCGCAAAAGAGAAUUGGAUUUGAGCGAUCCCGACUCCUUCGUCAGAAAGAGGAGGGCCGCUUGAAAUGCAGGUGCAGCUGGACAUUCUUCUGAGCUAAAAGCAUAUCUAUUUAGUCCCUUCAAACGGAUUAUUACUUUUGCUUCAGCUAAUAUAAAGGUCGAAUGAACAACCAACGCUGAUUGCAGGAAAACUCGUUCUUAACCGAACUUGUAAACUCGAUCUCAAAUCAAGUAAGACUACCCGCUGAACUUAA